CUAAGGAUGGUUCUUCAGAAGCUUGCUUCUAUCGAACCGUUUUAGAAACAUCAGUGGCCAACAGAUCGCCAGAUCGUUGAGCUGCAUUGGCGGGAUUUCGCCGUCUUCGUUUCUCUUUCUUCGCGGAACGAAACACGCGCUGGGGCUGCAGGCUUGCAGAUCCCUGGUCCUUGACUGGAUAUGCGUUAGGGGCUUGUAGCUCAGUUGGUUAGAGCGCGCGCUUGAUAAGCGUGAGGUCGGAAGUUCAAGUCUUCCCAGGCCCACCACUUUCAUCGAGUGUGCAUUCGUCUUCUGGUUACGGGGCCAUAGCUCAGCUGGGAGAGCGCGUGCUUUGCAAGCAUGAGGUCGUCGGUUCGAUCCCGUCUGGCUCCACCAGAUGGUUUGAUCACCGAGAUCCUGUGCCGUCGUCCGCGAAACAUCACUUCGCACUUGCUAGUCCGGAUGGACAGCAAGCUGCGUGAUUUCUGACAUCGUAAAGAGGAGAUCGAUCCGAGUUGGAUCGUGCGGAGAAUAUCCGCGCGAGACUUCAUUAUCUCCGGAUCAUUUCGGCGCUCGCGCGCCUUUCAGUGUAGCUCACAAGGCUGCGCCUGAAAGACAUGUGAGUUGUGAAUGAUCCUUUUAGCGAAGCUUGGCCGCCUCGCUAUCGGAACGAUCUUACGAAGCAAGCUGGUCUUUCUAGUCAAUGUCCGGUUGCAGAUAGCGUUCAUCGAGGGCGCGUGCCGCAAGGCAAUUCUGCAGACAACAUUCUGCCGAGUGUGUGGACAUUGAUAAUGAGAGC
rnacentral:tRNA from 1 species